UUAAUUCGAACAGUUUCAUUGGUCCACUGUGACCUGUUCGGUAAUUUCAUUGGUCCGAUGUGACGAGGCUAAAUGUUUUGGCGGCAUGAAGCUCGUUAGCCCGUAAAAAUCCAUAAAUUAGCGGCGUCAUUGUUUAAGCCGCAGUGUUCAAAGCGUGUGACAAAAGUAGCGGCUUAUAGUCCGGAAAUUACGAGCACAAGGAACACAGCACUGCGGCAUGGUGAAAAUACGAGAGCGUCAGUCAACGCAAUAGAAGCUGGGACCCGGAAACAGUAUUCUCGGUAGCUCAUUAUGUCAUGACUUAACAAGCGGAUUAUGGCUCUGGCUAAUUUAAAUUUAAUGUAGAUCACCCAAUUAGUGCCUGACUGCAUAGCAUAAACGAUGCCUGUUAAAACAAUCUCGGUUCCUCAUCAUCUAACAACUAACAUAUUGAAUGUACUGG